GAAAUUCCUUGUCGGGUAAGUUCCGACCUGCACGAAUGGCGUAACGACUUCCCUACUGUCUCGACCAGAGGCUCGGUGAAAUUGAAGUCGCUGUGAAGAUGCAGCGUACCCGCGAAAAGACGGAAAGACCCCGUGAACCUUUACUAUAGCUUGACAUUGGACUUUGAACUGGUAUGUGUAGGAUAGGUGGGAGACUGUGAAAUCCCGACGCUAGUCGGGAGGGAGUCAACCUUGAAAUACCACCCUUAGCAGUUUAGGGUUCUAACCGUGACCCGUUAUCCGGGCCCGGGACAUUGUCUGGUGGGUAGUUUGACUGGGGCGGUCGCCUCCCAAAGAGUAACGGAGGCGCGCGAAGGUUCCCUCAGGCUGAUUGGAAACCAGCCGUAGAGUGUAAAGGCAUAAGGGAGCUUGACUGCGAGAGAGACAUCUCGAGCAGAUACGAAAGUAGGUCUUAGUGAUCCGGCGGUUCCUCAUGGAAGGGCCGUCGCUCAACGGAUAAAAGGUACUCCGGGGAUAACAGGCUAAUCGCGUCCAAGAGUUCACAUCGACGACGCGGUUUGGCACCUCGAUGUCGGCUCAUCGCAUCCUGGGGCUGGAGUAGGUCCCAAGGGUUUGGCUGUUCGCCAAUUAAAGCGGUACGUGAGCUGGGUUUAGAACGUCGUGAGACAGUUCGGUCCCUAUCUUUCGUGGGCGUAGGAUAUUUGAGAGGAUCUGUCCCUAGUACGAGAGGACCGGGAUGGACGAACCGCUAGUGUGCCAGUUGUCGCGCCAGCGGCAUAGCUGGGUAGCUACGUUCGGAAUGGAUAACCGCUGAAAGCAUCUAAGCGGGAAACCAACCUCAAGAUUAGAUAUCCCUCUACUUCGGUAGACUAAAGACCCCUUGUAGACUACAAGGUUGAUAGGCCGGAUGUGUAAGUGCGGUGACGCAUUUAGCUAACCGGUACUAAUCGGUCGUGCGACUUGGCCAU
rnacentral:ncRNA from 1 species